GGAAUAUUGUAUUAAAGUAGUUUAUUAAGCAUGAGUCCAAGAAGGGGGGAACCUCAUGUAUAUACUUGCCUGGCACAUCACAUCCAAUUUGCAUCAAGUAUAAGACUUCAAAAUGCAAGAAGCCAACAAUGUAGCAUAUGGAGAGAUGACAUUUUCUUCUGAGAAGAAUGGAAUGUACAUACCUAGGGCACAGAUUGAUUACGGAGGCAAGGGAUAUGGGGGGACUUGACUUUACCAUGCCACUCAGACACCUUCCUAAAACGCCCCAGAGAAAUGACAAGGAAUUUAAGAAUGUGUAAUGCUUUCUCAGAGGCUAAUACGGUCAUUACAAUCCAGGUGCAGAGAGAGAGCUCGAUGGAAGUUGUGGAAGCAGUCACAGGUGACCACAGUGGCCAGAUUAAGGCAGGGAAAAAAGUGAAGGGAAUCCCAGGCAGAAGAAAGCAUGUAACCAGACACAGGCAUGAAGAAACUGCACUUAUUUGUAGAAGAACUCCCAUGAGGAUAAUGGGUGACAGGAGCUGAGGUUGGAGAAUCAGCGUGCAGCAAAUGUGGGGAGUGUCCAAUAUGGUCCAACUUUAAGGAGUCUGACUUAUGUUGCUGAAUGGACAGCAUCUAAGUUUGUUUCCUUGUUUUUACACAGGAGCAGUAUGUAAUUUCCAUGUUGAGAAAGAGAAUUGUGAACCAGUUGUUUCGGAAGGUGGAUUGAUGGUGUGGGAGAUAGGUAUUGGAAGGAGAGAGACAGUCAGGAGAUGGUGACAAUAAUUUAGGGAGAACUGGGGAAGGUCAGUUGUGUUCCAGCCCAAGCAGCAUCUUUGAAACACUGAAGGGGAAUGCUCCAGUGAUCCACAUGUGAGAGGCCCAACCUAGAGUGGCAAUGAGUGGGUGGAAAAAGUCCCUGGAAAGAACUGGAUGUAGACCCAAUUCUUGGUAGUCUGACUAGGGCCUGACUCUUCUUCAAGACACUCUCCUGACAGAAUUAGAUCUUUCUGACUGUCCUGACCCCUGUUACCAGCUGUUGCUACUCUCGUACAUUCUGGUUCAUGAGCCAUGGUUACAUGCAUGCUCCCCUUGUGGAUUAACCAGAGCUGACUACAAAUGUCUUCCCAAUUCCUGUCUGUGCAGCUUCUAUACUGUACUAGGUAAAGAAGUGGUGAUGGAGACACAGGAAGACUGACUUGAGAGCCCUUUCAUUAAUAUGAUUGGUAGGGCUUACUUGACACUGAAACAGAUGUAGAGAUAAACCAGAAGAAGCCAAUGGUGGCUCUAACAUGUCCUUCUCAGACAACUACAUGAUUAGCAAAGACUUGAAAGAGGAGACUGUUGGGGGUGGGGGUGGGGGGGGAAGAAAAGAGCCUUUUAAAAAAAGAUUUUAUUUUUUAAAGAUUUUUUUAAAGUAAUCUCUAUACCCAAUGUGGGGCUCAAACUCACAACCCCAAGAUCAAGAAUGGCAUGUUCUACCAACUGAGCCAGCCAGGCACCUCAAGAUUUUAAGUAAUCUCUAUACCCAGCACAGGGCUUGAAC
rnacentral:lncRNA from 1 species